AAGUCCUGUCAUGAGCUUUUAUAGAUUUUGUGUGGCACAAAUCCUAGUAGGAUUCUAACUCUCCCUAUGAGAGUCCUCUUAGGAAUCACAUACCCUACUCACUACCAACCAAGUGAGAUGGUUUGUACAAUCCUAAUAAGACUAUAUUUCCCUUAACAGAGUCCUCCUAAGAGUCUCAUCACUGCAAGCCAAGUGAAAUGACUACCACGGUUGAAUAACAGUAUGACCGAGCUAACACUAGCCCUUUGACAUACUCAAUCCGGUGCUUUCAAAUGCAACACCUAGCUUGGUCAUUGUAUCUCGGUUUGGGUUGUUUAAACCGAACUAACUGCAGCAGUCUCUGACCGAGCUAACAAGGGUGAGAUCCAACAUUGCGAAGCCCAAACACCUCGGCCCAUAGCUCGGCCCGAACUUCACCUAGUCCUAGCUCGUUUAACUUUAAGACCGAGCUACACCAGCUCUUACCCCGGCCCAACGUGCGGCCCAUCUUCUAAAGAAGGCCCUUCCUUAGCUCGACUUAUUUUAUUUAUAAAUUACCCUCUCAUAUAAUUAUAUGUAUUGAUUUUUUUUUUCUUCUGAUUUUUAGAAAAUCUUUGAUAUGAUAAAUUUCAUGAAUUUUGUGGCUUUUGGGUUUUGGGUUUCUCUGCAUUUCUAAUAAACCUCACAUUUCCCCCUUUCCCUCUCAAAUAUGUUUUUACAAUAAGAACAAAAUGAUGCAUCACCCAAAACCAAUCCAACCCAUAUACUAUAAAUUCAUAUUACACAUUCUAAAGAACUCUAGCAUCCAUUAAAAUGUUUUUUUUCCCUCCCUCCUUUUGUUAAGUUGUUGAAAAUUUAUCUGAUUUGGGUGACAUGUGAAUGAGGGUUUGAGCUAGGAAGAGAUCAACCUCAACUGAGAACAAGAAGUCUACAUAAAGGGUUUGAAAGCUGCCUUGUAAUUUGCAUUAAAGCAAAAGGAUAGUAUCCCAGAUGCGAAAUGCAUAUGCGACUAAAUCACCGAGUUUUCAAUUAGACACUUGAAUGGCUUCCACAACAAAGUAAUGGAUAUGGGGUACUUGGCAUUUGAAGAAUGGCACUUGGCACUUGGCACUUGGAUUUGAAGAAUGACACUCGUUAUCUGUUUGCUAUCAGUUUGGUUUGCUAUCUGCUGUUGUGAUUUGCUACUGUGAAUUGGGGUGGAUGUGCUCAACUAAGGUGCCUUGGGAUUAAUUGUUGAAGGAUUCAGUAGGAGAUGAAUUUUGCAAAUUGUUUUUUUUUUUUGCUCUCCUUUGUGGUUUUGCUCUUCUUUAUGGUUUGUCUUUUGCAAAUUGUCUUUUGCUCUGUUCUGAAUUAUAGUGCCUUAAUGUUUGCAGUUGAGAUGGGCUGGAAUUAUAAAUGUUACAUCAUUGAGUUUUAGAAUUGAU